CGGAGCCUGAGGGUGCUGCGCAGCCGGCCGUUGAGACGCCGCCGGCGACCGUCGACAGGCUGCCGAAAUGGUCGCAUCGAGUCAAGCAGUAUUCUGGUUCCUCAAAGCUGAUGCAAGAUCUGAAGAAGUUGGAAGAGGAAACGUCAUCUAUUAACUUGCCGAAGGUCUAUCGCAGACAGUCAAAGCAUGAUGGGUGAAUUUCAUGCCGAAACCUUCUCACUAGUUUACGUCUGCAGUAAGAACGGAUGUGAGCCGUCGCAGGGCUAGUUUGCACACGAACCCAUGCACACCUACCAAAAGGUAUUUUCAAGCACUCUGCCAUCGUGGAGAGUGAUAGUAUUCAGCUGCUGUGGUCUCUAGGCGAGGUAACCUAUGGUUAUCGCUGAUCUCUGCUACAUCACGUGUGUCGUGUGCUGUCCCCUCGCCUUCUUGUUGCACAUCAUCUGCCCUUGUGCGCGUCCCGUUGAUGAGUGUUGUUGUGUCAUUGUAAUCUCUUGCCUACUCGCCUUCCAAUUUAAUUUGAUCUGAUUGUACACUAUCUUUAACAAGUGUAUAUGGAAGGGUGCGUGCACUGUAAUGGCUCCUUAGCUAAUGUAUAUGCAAGCAACGCUUACCAGCUGCUUUCAUUAUAUAGUAACCACUCGAUUCGUCUUUGAAUCAAAAACGUUGUUCCGUUGAUGCUGGAACAUCUAUGUGGCUGUGGGUGUGCGAAUCCGGAUUUCACGUGCCACGGGCUGCUGGCAUAAUAUCAGUGACUCGUAUAUGCAUAAUAGAAAUGCAGUUGUAUUAAUUGUGAAUAUGUGUGUAUGCGAAUAGUCAAAACUACACCAAACUGAACCGAGAAUAAGUAUGUUUUCGGCAAAGAUGUGCUAUCUGUCAUGACUUUCUACGUGGGUGUUCACACCUAUCUGUGUUCCUUCACAAUUUUAAAAAUGUUUCUCCUCAUUUUAGCAUUGUUUUAAUUAAAGGUGUGCAUAGCGGUCAAUUCUGCCCGUUGUACUAUGAGGUGCAGUACCGACCAUAAGUAUGGGUCUGGUGUAAAAAAAGAUUUUAAAGAAUUGAUAUGAUGGUGAAUUGACGUGUAAAUUUGAUAAAUUACGAUAUAUGUAGAACAUUUAUAAAACAUUUUUAGCUUUUAUCAAUUCAUGCAGCACUUCAAUUUCCCAUCAAAAGAGGAAACAUUAAAUUAAAUGUGUUGGAGUUACUGACUAUAAUGUGUAACCCAUCUGCAUGGGUUUCGUGUUCUUCUAUGUCACAGUUUGCUGCAGUACUGUGUGACGUUUUAGACUUGAUGUCGUUCUGAUAUUUUUGCUGCUGGUUUGCUGACCUCUUGUAGCUUGCCCGACAUCUCUUCAUAUGCAGCAAACAUAAUUUAAAUUGAAAACCCUUGUUAAUGGUGGUUUCAUUCAACAACUUAUAUAUUAUGGCAAUAUAUAGCUAACGACAUUAUGUUGUUGUUUUAAUAUAUAUCCGUUGAUAGUUGAACGGAUAGCUCGCUCGGUAUGCCUCAGAUAAGGAUGCUAUUAUUAAGUGCCUGAAAAGCUACAAGUACUGAAUCUCGCGUUUACAGGUGACUGAACAUUCUGUGCAGAAUCAUCAGUGGUAUAUCUUUUUCACUAUUUUUAUUCUUCUAUAUGCUCUCAGCCAACCUUGCAUAAUAAAUAAUAGUGAGUAGCUUCACUGGGCACGUGAUUCUAGAGACCAUUCUGGGAGGAUAUUUCUCGAUUUUACCCUUUUGUUUGAAAUUUGUAACAGUCGGGGCUUUGUGGCGAUGUGUAAGGGCCACUCGUUUGGCAGUAACGGUACGGUAAUUUAUGUCAUAUCUUGUGCCAAAAUUAACGACAACGGUGAAAUUAUGGGCUGUAAAAGUUUUCCAUCAAGGUUCCUAUUAACAAGUUGACCUUGAUGUGGCGUCCUCGGAGUAGAUGGGCGGAGACGCGUGUCAAUUAAUUUGGAGACUCAUUCUGAAUCUAUAGAGUAGAACAUUCUUACUCGGUGUGAGCAAAGAAAUCAUAGAUCUGCCUGCGCGUUGUUAAGAAACUACCAUCCCGUCAGUUUGCUUCGUGCGUGUGCUUCCUUGUCAGUAAAAGUAAACAUGCACAGCAGCUUUGUGCGUGAUGUCAUUUGUAAAUUAUUUAUUAGUGUGUCUUUACAGUAUCCGUUUUAGUGUCUGGUUCGCCUCCAUAUGUGACGUGGUGGUAGCAGAAGUAAUCACUAGCAGAACGCGCCCCCUAUAGAACUGGCUUAAGCCUACCUAGUCAUCUGUAUUCCUCAAGUUGUUUCCAUGUUUAUGUUUAGAUUAAGAUCGUAUUAUCCAUGUUGUUGUAAUAUGGUACGUUUCAAAUUUAUAUAUUAUAAACAUGUACAUAGCUACAUACGUGAACACGUUGCAGAGAUGAAAUUUACGUGAUUUUGGUGUUGCAGUCGGCUAACAGUUAUUCGAGUAAUCAUGAGGAGAUGGUUUGACCUAUGGUUGUGAUGCGGCAGAAAGAUAUGUCGCCAAUAAUGUUCUCUGAUACACAACGUAUGAGAUAUAACGGCUAUAUGUACUGUAAACAAAGUUCGUGAACGAAUACGGAGAGGAAACGGAAGUAGCACGCGUCGGGAAGUAGCGGCUUAUAAAUAGCAUUAGUAAACGUGUGGAAGGGUUUUUGUAUUAUAUAUACCAAGCGUUACCACGUGUUUGUUUGCGUCUCGGCAAGGUGACAUCCUCUAGUCAAUGUGGACUGUUAAGCUAAGCUGUAGACCUGCUGUUAUCAAUCGUCUUUGCGUGCGUGCUUGAGAGAGAAGUUGAGAAUAUUUUAUCGUGAGUAUAUGGGGGGUAGGGGGCAUGUUCUCAUGUAUGUACAUCUUUAGUUAUUCUGUGGCAUGCCCUCGUGUCCCUCCUGUGUGUACUGCAUUACUUCUUUAAUUGAUGAAGUUGCCAGUGAGAUUUCUUUAAAUAAUUCAUUAUUCCUACUAAUCCGUAUAACUAACGCGACGCUUAUAUUUUGCUCAUUCAGUAGAACAGUAGCGUUUCGGUGAGGCUGAAGGAGGGAUUCAGCACUUGUGAUGCUCUGGCGCUCGCCUUUGCGUGCUUAGUCUCGGAACUGAAUCUGCUCAUUUUUUGCAAUACCUAUUGUGUUUCUAAACGUGCAUGUACUUUUGCUUUGUUUGUCUUGCAUAUAUAUUAUAUACAUAUACAUAUGUGCGUACAUACUGUGGCGAUGACUGUUACCUGAUGUUACUCGUUAGGAAUCUCCAGUUUCUCGAACGUAUCAGUUCGUUUGAUAAGUGUAAUGCGUGAGUUUGGCCUAUUGAUUCGAGUGUGUACAGUGUGAGGAUUUGCGUGUUAUAUUAAUGUACACGUUAUACAGAAAUUACGUCUAACACAUUUGGUUUCUUCUAUUAGCCUUGUUUUUUAAUCGUGGCGAAAACUGUUUUGUCUGUCCUGCUUUACUGGUAGUGUUUUGCUGACUUUCCGAUAUUAGAAAUAUUCGGAACGGCUAGCAAGUGUCUUCUUGUAAAUUCAUUACUCGUGGGGAAAUAUCCAUUAUUGAUAUUAUUAUAUGCAUGAUGUGGCGUUAGGUUGUAGACAUUAAUUAAAGCAUUUAGCACUGCACAGCGCAUCUGUACAAAUAAAGACCAUGCAUUUUACACGGCAAACUAUUUUAUUUAUCGCGAUAGCCAUUUGACGUGUUGUAAACUAUGUUGUCUCUAUUUUUGUCUAUUAUUAUUGUACUCCGUUUACGAGCGGUUUAGUUCACCUAAGCUGUAUGUAUACGUUUAUCUACUUCGAUUGCCAGCUGCUGUUAUACUGCUUCAUCAUGUUAUCAUGUAAGGCCACAUGGCUGUUCCUAUGAAUUUACCUGCUAAAUGUGUUCUUCCCCCCCCCUUCUCUCUCUCUCUCUCUCUCGUUUUCUCUUCUCUCUCUCUCUCUCUCUCUCUCUCUCUCUCUCUCUCUCUCUCUCUCUCUUUCUCUCUCUUUCUCUCUCUCUCUAGUCUACGCACAAUAUAAAAGAUAUCGCAUUCGAAGUCCACUAUAGUCUAAAGAUCUGUGAGGUAUGGCCGCGAGGUUCGUUGUAAGAUCUGGUUAUAAAAAGGCUCACGAAAAAGCUUGCAAGGACCAAACGACAAACAAGAGCCCUACCAAAGGCGACCGGCGUUAAAUCCAUCCGUUGUGUAAGGUUAGCCCGAUUUCGUUUUCCAUAUAUGUCUGUGUAAUGUAAUCAACGUUGGCUUCUUAUUAACUUAACUGUACGAUAUGAUUUUAUUCGUCUUUUUUUACACAGCUGGCAUAUCAAUAUUCAUUGUGUAACCGAAUAAAGAGACAUGAAAUAGA